CACACACACACACACACACACACACACACACACACACACACACACACACAAAGCACAGUACAGAGAGGCGACAUGGUUACUGCACUCGUUAUCGCCAUACUAUUUUAUUUCACAGGUUCUGGUGUUUGUUCUGUCGUCCAGAAUCCUCCUGAUCUCAUAAAAAAACCAGACGAGGUUGCUGAGAUCAAAUGUGCACACACUGUAAACGGCUAUAAUCGCAUUCUGUGGUACAAACACAGCCAGGACACAGGAUUUACACUCAUGGGGUACCUUUCUGUUACUUCUCCAAACCUGGAGGCAGAAUUUGAAACGAAGAUCAAACUGAGUGGUGAUGGGACCAAAGACGGCUCUUUGACCAUAAACAGUCUUUCAGUGAGCGACAGUGCUGUGUAUUUCUGUGCAGCUUAUUACACAGUGCUGUAG